CUCAGCUUCUCAAAGUACUAGGAUUAUAGGUGUGAGCUACUGCACCUGGCAUUAAGUUUGCACUUUUUAAAGUCAUCUGCCAUCCCCCUCCAUUAGACUAUAAACUCUGUAAGGGCAGAAAUUUUUUUCACCUGGUACAGACAAGGAAGGAUUCCCAGAAUAAAGAGAUUGUUAUUUUCACCUCUGUAUCUUCCAGUGCUGCAGGCACAGUAGGUGCUUAAUAAAUGGUAUAGAAUGAAUGAAUAAAUGAAACAGAGAACAGAGGGGAUAGGGAUGAACUUUGGACAUGGAAGACAGAGAUGGCCUCCCUGAGGAUAUAAGAUUGUGGGACAUCAAUCAUGAGGAUGCAUCCUUGAGAUAAUAUGGAAGACACAUGCAUGGAGUGCCUCCUGCUUCCAGUCCCUUGGGGACACCUUCCUUGUCCCCUCCCCAGGUCAUGGCUGCGGUUAUACACACUCAUAGUAUCCUGCAGUUUUCCUCCUUAAUGUGGUGUAGGUACUUGGAUAAUUAUUUUUAAAUGUCUGUUUUGGCCAGGCACAGUGGCUCACACCUGUAAUCCCAACACUUUGGGAGACCAAGGCGGGCAGAUUACACGAGGUCUGGAGUUCAAGAUGAGUCUGACCAACAUGGAGAAACCCCGUCCCUACUAAAAAUACAAUAUUAGUUGGGCGUGGUGGCGCAUGCCUGUAACCCAGCUACUCGGGAGGCUGAGGCAGAAGAAUUGCUUGAACCCGGGAGGCAAAGGUUGCAGUGAGCCGAGAUCGCACCAUUUCACCCCAACCUGGGGCAACAAGAGCAAAGCGCUGUAUCCAAAAAAAAAAAAAAAAGUUUGUUUCUCCUAAUACUAUAAUCCCCACAAGGAUAAAAGAGAAAGUACUUGGAGAAUUCAAGAAAUGAAACCAUGACCGACGGGCUGCUACUCCAGUGUGUGAAACGUCACUUCCUCAGGGACACCUUCCUUGCCCCCUCCCCAGGCUGUGACUAUGGCUACACACACACAGAGCACCUUGCACUUUUCCUGCUUAACGUCGUCAGGGGACAGCACAGCAUGAAGGUCCUCACAAGAUGCUGGUGCCAUGCUUUUGGACUUCCCAGUCUCCAGAACUAUGCACUUACAAGGGUCCUGAACAGAGCGAGUAUCUUUUGGAACAUUUUUGCACUGGUGAAAAGUUGUUCUGCUUUCGUAGGGCUUUGUGCCAUGAAGUCAGUGAAUAUGCCAAUCCACUGUGCCUGGUUCAGCAGCAGGGGUUGUCUGCUCCCACAGUACCUGCUGAGCAUGCGUCAAUCCUCUUUCAGUUGAAUAUAAUUCUUAGCCACAUUAUCUUGUCUAAUAGAAGCAAAAAGCAACCAGAAAGAUUUCCUGAGGAAUUGCUGGCACAUGCAAAUGGAAACUGCUCAUUUUAA
rnacentral:lncRNA from 13 species